UCCCCUGUGGCGCAAUUGGCUAGCGCGUCAGACUGUUAGCGAAUCUACGGAUACCGAGCAAAUCUGGAGGCUGGAAGUUCGAGCCUUCCCGGGGGAG